UUCUCUUCAGGAAAUGAGAACGUAGCAGGGAUUAGUCGGAGAACGGAGUGACGGUCCAGAUGAUAGCAUUAGUAGUCCUCACUAUUCUAUGAAAUAGUGUGAUAAUAAAUGUAUUGAGGACUUAUUUUGAGUUUGAAUACUGUCUAGAAGACAAUGUUUGUAUUAAAACUCACAGCUCAUGUUGUAUAUUUAAGAUUGUAUUUGUAUUCUGUACCAUGUAUUUGGCGACUCAAAAUAGGUGAUGUAUACCUAUUUUGGGGGC
rnacentral:lncRNA from 1 species